UUUACUCUUCAUACCUUCUUGAGAGGACAGAGAAGCAUGCAGCAACAUUCAGUGCUCUCUCCCCAAAGGUGGGGGAAUUGCAAGGAGAAAUGAAAUAUUCUCCCCAGGAGACUAAAAUACAGCAGUGUUUGUCAAGCUCAAUCAAAUUCUGGUUGUGAAGUCAAUCUAGCAGGGAGCAACCAACAUCAUAAAAAAUGACACAGACGAGUAGAAAAUAUCAGGUUGUAUCACAUUUAGUAAGGUUUCCUCCAGCUUUGCUCUUCUCUGUGAUGAGCAAGAGCUUGUAUCUCUUCUUUUGACCACUAUUAGAACCUUCUUCCGCGUUGAAUUCUUGGAAGGCUGCAGGAGGAAUAACGUGAAGCAGAGAAUUCGCUUGCCAAGUAUCCACGAUGUGCUGUGCUUGGGACAGAGCCCACCAGCGAAGCUGCUGCUGCCUGGCCCCACACGUCCUGGUCUCCUAAAAUGUGAGCUGCCCUACGUCACAGGGACGCGCAUGAGGACUCUUAAGAAUAAAGAAAGUGAUCAACAAGCAGAAACUAAAUACCUUGUGGGUUCAAAGGAAAGAAACUCUUCCUGAUACUGCCUGGAGAAGGAGGCUUUAAAAGUGGACCUAAUAUCAUGGGUAGGAUUAGCAAAUAUGGAGAGCACGUGCCAAGUGAGGGGUGCCGUGCACGAAGCGGAAGGUGCAACAAAACUCAGGCUGUUAGGAAGGCACCCGACUUUCCACCCCAGGGUUCCUGGGAAGCCUCACCUAAGGGACUCACACCCUGGACUUGGUGCCUCCAACACCCAUCUGGCUUCCUUUCGGUGGCCAUAGAACUGGGGAACUGGAUCAGCCAGGGUGGCCGCGAGUGCCUGAAUCCGCGGGCUGCCUGCGGCUCUCUCUGACUGCGUGGGACAGGGCAUGCUGUCCGCUGCUCAAAGUGGAUUGGCUGGAUGACGAAGUCUGUGCCCACAGCACGAAUAAUGACUGACAGUGUCUGCUUUUGAGUCUGCAGAGGAAUGAUGGAGACUUGCAGCAACUCAAAACCCAAACAGUGUCUGGCUGACAAUAGCGGCUAAGUGUUCCGCUGAACAGAACUGAACUGACUGUUGGCCAGAAAGGUCAGGACACAGUGGAAAACCUCGGAGUCCAGUUUUCAGGCCUGUGGCGCUGGGUCUGGAGAGCCCCAAACUCCAAAUAUGGCCCCAAGCCCAGAAGACUUUCCAGACACUCUCUUGAACUUGGGCCUUAGCCCUUACCUCACCCGCCGACCUGUGCCUGUGGGGACUCCCUGUGCUGGCCACACUGCAGACCUGGGCUCACUGGCUGUUUAACUGCUUGUGGCUUGGGUCGAAAAAUCUUGGAUGUCAUAAUUUAGAGCCUUACUCUAACAGCUCAAAAAACCCUUUGUAAUUUGACUGACAGAAAUGACUAUCUGGCUGGUGCUGCAGGCAAAGGAAGGCACUGCCUUGAAUGUUGGCUCUUCCUCUGCUUCUAUAUGACUGAUCUCGGGCAAGUUUUUAGCUUCCCUAAACCUCGGUUUCCUCAUCUGUAAACAGGGGCCGUAGCAACCACCACCGGAAGGGUUGCUGUGAGGAGGAAAGACAGUACAGCAAAGGCCACCAUUUACGGAGUGUUCACUACGUGCCCAGCUCUGUGCUCAGUACUCUGAAACAGAGUCUCACAGAAGCUUCCAGCACCUCUGAGAAGGAACUGGGGAACAGAGCUUAAGGAAUUUGCCCCAGUUUUACAGCUCACAAAUUGUGAAUCAGGGAUUCAACUCAGGUCUGCCUUCCUCCAAAGACUAUCACAGCACUGGGGGCUGCAAAGUGCUCUGCAAAUGUUACUUUCACUUCUCAUGUAGAAGGUAAAACUCAUCUCAACUAAGUGAAAACAUCUUCUCUUGAAUUGUCCUGAUUUGGGAUAAAUAUAAAUCCCAAACACAUAGACUGGAUUACAUCCUUGCUGUGAGUCUAAGACUCCCUUUGCUCCACAAGAGCAGACUAGGGCCCUGUCUUCCUUUCUGUCCGGGCCCACAGUGGGCCAAGGCUGGACAUCGAGGGUCCCCCAGAGCAAGACCCACCUUCCUGGGGGUGAGGGGGGAGCAGGUCUCCCAGUUCCCAGGGUGCUGCUCAUAUCUUGGACCUCAUUCUUUGUCUUUGCAUCUUCCCAGCAAUGGUCGCCAACCAGGUGCUAAAGGAUGUUGUCUGUAGUCUCCCAAAGCUGAGUCCUCAGCCCCACAUACUCACUUCACUUGCCCAACACUUCUCUGGAUUCAGUGCUCUGGAAAAUGAGCUUUUCAGUAGCUUCUCUGUAUUCACUAACCUCUGAACAGAUCAAGCCACUUCUCUUGUACUCCAUUAUUCUUAAUAUUGUAUUAAAUGUAAGGGUUUGGCAUGCCCAGUUCCAGAGCACUUACCACAUCAAAUAAAUUAACAAGUUGCUUCUCUAUAAAAUGUCUAAAAUGUUAAAUCAUGUCACGUGUGGCCACAAGAGAAUUUUAAGAGUUUGGGGCUGUAAGAAUAUCCACGCUGGCAGAACCAAAUUCUUUUUUUAUAUGAUUCAGCAUGAAAACCCAAGAGCUACGGCCUUCAGCUGGAGGUCCUUCGGGGACAUGCUUCUCUGACUCUCAGAAAUCAAAGCAGGAAUUCACACAUGAUUCUUCUACAUGAAAAGAUGUUAAUGAGCUUCUGGCCACAUUUAAGAUUCUACACAUAUUUUUCAGAGUCACAGUUUGAGAAGCUGUAGCCUCUAGAUAACUGACGGCAUUUUAGAGUUGGUGGUUACCUGAGAUAUCAUUUAGUAAGGGAUUCUCAAAUUCCUGGUGAAUAAAAAUCAACUGUUUAAUCACAAGCAAUCAUAUUAAAUACCGUUCAUUAAGUAACUACUACGUGCCGGUACCUAAGCACUUUCAGGUAUUAACUUACUUUGUCCUCCCCCAAACCUCAUAAGGAUGCUGCUGUUAUUCUUCCCAUUUUGUAGAUAAGGAAAUGGAGACACAGAGAAUUACAUAACCUGUCCAAGUUCAAAUCAGGCAGUGGGACUCCCCUUAGCCACUCCCUUACACUACCUCUUGAUUCAAGAUCACAAAGCUAGUAAGUGUCCACCUGUUUCAGUCUACAGGCAGGUUGCUACAGGUACGCCCUUUGCCCUGGAGGGCUCUCCAGGUGUGGGCGUGUGUGUAUGUGGGGGCUCAGGGCCAUGUGAGGUGGGAAGUGGUGGAUGCCUCCUUCCUCUUCUCAACGCCCCAUACACACAUGAUGUCAGCAUCUUGACCCUGGGGACACUAAGCGUGGGGGUUAGGACAGACUGAAGCCUAUUUCAUGUGUCCUGCUUUAAAGGAUUCUUCUGUAUAGUCAUCUUUUAAAGUCACCUUUUGUAGUGGCUUAAGAGUACGUCCCUUUGAAAAUAAUUUUUUAAACAGAAGAAAACAUAAGCAUGCAAAUUGCAUGGAAUGUUGGAAUGUGCAGAAAAGUAGAAGGAAGUAAAACUUACUGAUGAUCCACCAUCCAAAGACAGCCACUCUUGACAUUUUGGUUUAUUUUCUUCUUUUCAUUUUUGAACAAUGUAUGUUAGUUGUGACUGUAAUGAAUAUGCAAUGUUCUAUUUUGCUUUUUCCACUAAAUGUUGUCUAUACUACUACCUACCUUUUAUAAACAUCAUUUUAAAGGCAUUAUGGGGAUAUGCUAUAAUUUAUGUAAACAUUCCUCUGUUGUUAAACAUUUACACUAUUUUAAAAUAUAAAUAGCACUAAAGGAAUUUUUCUGAAUAAAGCUUUUGCCUUAUGUAGGUUUACUUCUCUCGGGAAGAUUUCCAUCAUGAAGAUAUUGGGACUUCUCUUCACCUGAAACCUCACUUCAUGAGGUAUUUCUCAGUGCUGACAUUAUCAAGUUAUCAACUGUCAAUAUGCAAGUAAGCAAAUUAUUAUGGGAUUUUUAAUGAUUUUAUAUUCUUAAAUGAACACUCCACCCCCACCCCCCACCUUUUUCCAAAAUCACAUUAGAGCUGUAGGUCAUUCUUUGGUACAAUGGCAAACAGAAAUACUCUGACCACCUGGAAUACAGGCAUGUCUCGAAGUGACACAGUCUCAGGAAGUGGUUAAGAACAAGGGUUCUACCUUUGUGAUAGUCCUUCAAAAGCUCAGAACUCUGGUCUAAUCAUGAGAAAAUGUCAGACAAACCCAGCUGGGCAGGCUUCUACGGGAUAGCUGGUCAAUACUUCCCAAGGUCAUGAAAAACAGGGAAGACAGAGAAACUGUCAAAGACCAGGCAGAUUUGGGAGACACGGCAACUAAAGGCAACGUGGCACCCGGGACUAGAUACUGGAACAGGAAGAGGGCCUUGGUGGGAAACCUGGUGAAAUCCAAAUAAAGUUUGGAGUUUGUUAAUAAUCAUGUGCCGACAUCAGUUCCUUAGUUUUGACAAA